rnacentral:lncRNA from 1 species
ACUUAAGUCAUUUCCAAUUUUUCUUAUCACAAACAAUAUUUUAAUUGACAUACUCAUGUACCUAAUCAGGUAAACAGAGUGCAAUUAAAGCACAUGUGAUGGACACUUAACCAGUAUAAGGAAGUGAGCAAAAGGUUCUCAGAAGCUGAAACCUCCAAGAUGAGUCCUCAAAGCUGAGCUCUGAGAAGCCCAUCUGUAAAUGAUGAAGAAAAAAUUCUUGGAAUUUUGUAGUGGGAUAUUUUGUUCCACCAGUUUGAUGAAGGAGGGCACUGGCACUGAAGUUUGCUCUGGUAAAACUGAACCCAGCGACAUCGUGAAGAGUCUUCGUUGGAGUGUCUCCCCACUCCUUCCGAUCAAGUAUGUGUUUGUUAGUGCUGGAACAGCAUAGGCUAUCAUUCUCCUAAAUAAGAGCUGGCCGGCCAUGCAGCUGUGUCAGGUGAGCUUAUAUAGUAUUUCUUCUGAGCACUCUACACAUGUGAUUCUGUUUCGGGGUCCUCUGUUGCUCUUCUUUUACCCCUGCACCCUGGUAAUAGAAUCCAGAGAUGAAAAAAGCAUGGAAAAGACUGGAAAACACUUAGUAAUCAGAUGGACUUGGGUUUAAAUGUUUAUUUUAUCGCCUUCCUAAUAUGCUAUCUGAGGCAUAAUCUCUAUUUUUUCAGCUUCAUUGUCCUUAUUUGUAAAAUGACAAUACAAUAUCCAGCAUACAAGAUUGUCAUAAGGAUGAAAUGAGACACGAUGAAUCAAAUGUCUAGCACAAGUCCUGGCAAAUUUAAUGCUCAAUAAGUGGCAGCUACUGCUACACCCAUGAGGAAAAUGUAAACUGUUGGUAUUUUUCUAUCACAAAAACUAAGUCUGGACUUUAGAAUUAGCCAACACUCUAGGGUAGAGACACAAAAAUAACUCAGAUGCAGUUUUCACCCUAGGAAAAAUCCCAAAA